rnacentral:rRNA from 1 species
AUCGAACGCUGGCGGCAUGCCUUACACAUGCAAGUCGAACGGCAGCACGGGGCAACCUGGUGGCGAGUGGCGAACGGGUGAGUAAUGCAUCGGAACGUACCUUUCAGUGGGGGAUAACGUAGCGAAAGUUACGCUAAUACCGCAUAUUCUGUGAGCAGGAAAGCAGGGGAUCGCAAGACCUUGCGCUGAUUGAGCGGCCGAUGUCAGAUUAGCUAGUUGGUGAGGUAAAGGCUCACCAAGGCGACGAUCUGUAGCGGGUCUGAGAGGAUGAUCCGCCACACUGGAACUGAGACACGGUCCAGACUCCUACGGGAGGCAGCAGUGGGGAAUUUUGGACAAUGGGGGCAACCCCGAUCCAGCCACGCCGCGUGAGUGAAGAAGGCCUUCGGGUUGUAAAGCUCUUUCGGCCGGGAAGAAAUCGCACGGGCUAAUACCCUGUGUGGAUGACGGUACCGGAAUAAGAAGCACCGGCUAACUACGUGCCAGCCGCCGCCGUAAGAC